rnacentral:lncRNA from 1 species
ACGCAUGUCCAUAGGGAAGCAGAGAGUGACACGCAUGUGCAGUAAGGAAGCAGAGAGUGACACGCAUGUCCAUAGGGAAGCAGAGAGUGACACGCAUGUCCAUAGGGAAGCAGAGAGUGACACGCAUGUCCAGUAGGGAAGCAGAGAGUGACACGCAUGUGCAGUAGGGAAGCAGAGAGUGACACGCAUGUCCAUAGGGAAGCAGAGAGUGACACGCAUGUCCAUAGGGAAGCAGAGAGUGACACGCAUGUCCAUAGGGAAGCAGAGAGUGACACGCAUGUCCAUAGGGAAGCAGAGAGUGACACGCAUGUCCAUAGGGAAGCAGAGAGUGACACGCAUGUCCAUAGGGAAGCAGAGAGUGACACGCAUGUCCAUAGGGAAGCAGAGAGUGACACGCAUGUCCAUAGGGAAGCAGAGAGUGACACGCAUGUCCAUAGGGAAGCAGAGAGUGACACGCAUGUCCAUAGGGAAGCAGAGAGUGACACGCAUGUCCAUAGGGAAGCAGAGAGUGACACGCAUGUCCACAGGGAAGCAGAGAGUGAUACGCAUGUCCAGUAGGGAAGCAGAGAGUGACACGCAUGUCAGUAGGGAAGCAGAGAGUGACACGCAUGUCCAUAGGGAAGCAGAGAGUGACACGCAUGUCCAUAGGGAAGCAGAGAGUGACACGCAUGUCCAUAGGGAAGCAGAGAGUGACACGCAUGUCCAUAGGGAAGCAGAGAGUGACACGCAUGUCCAUAGGGAAGCAGAGAGUGACACGCAUGUCCAUAGGGAAGCAGAGAGUGACACGCAUGUCCAUAGGGAAGCAGAGAGUGACACGCAUGUCCAUAGGGAAGCAGAGAGUGACACGCAUGUCCAUAGGGAAGCAGAGAGUGACACGCAUGUCCACAGGGAAGCAGAGAGUGAUACGCAUGUCCAGUAGGGAAGCAGAGAGUGACACGCAUGUCCAUAGGGAAGCAGAGAGUGACACGCAUGUCCAUAGGGAAGCAGAGAGUGACACACAUGUCCACAGGGAAGCAGAGAGUGACACGCAUGUCCACAGGGAAGCAGAGAGCGACACGCAUGUCCACAGGGAAGCAGAGAGCGACACGCAUGUGCAGUAGGGAAGCAGAGUGAUGAGUCUUUGCUCCACACAUGGUAAACCCAUGUCUACUCCCUCUGUUCUCUCUCUGCUUUUGUUUUCUUUACUUUUUUUUUUUUUUUUGCUUUUUAGGGCCACACUUGAGGUAUAUGGAGGUUCCCAGGCUAGGGGUCUAAUCGGAGCUACAGCUGUUGGCCUGCACCACAGCCACAGCAACGUGGGCUCCUUAACCCACUGAGCGAGGACAGGGAUCGAACGCAGGACCUCAUGGUUACUUGUCAGAUUCAUUUCCACUGCACCCCCAACUCCUGUUUUCGGUCUUGAUGUUUGAAUUUCUCCUGUGGCGAACAAGAUGUUGUCCCAAGACAGUUUUAAGAGUCACCUGGUGCUUAAACCAGAGAAGUGAUACUCCCGAGGAAUUGCUUUUUUUUUUCCUGGACAGUGGCAAGAAGGUAACCUUUAAACAGUAAAUGUUUCCCCCUCCAAUGAAUGUGUGACCUGGGUUUGCUCUAGGUCUUUGGAGAAAAGUCAGACUGCCCUAGAGAAACACUUAUGAAAUUAGCUGUCACCCUAAGAUUGGACACCUUCUCCCUGCCCGUGGCCCCAGGCAGGGGACAGAGAAGGGAUCCCUCCUAGGAGACCUUCUCCUGGUCAGGAAGUGAGGCCGGCGCUCCGGGAUGGGGGCGGGGGGGUGACUCAGUGAGGAGGCAGCGGGUGUGGUUCCUUCCAGACAUGCUCCAGCUGCUCCAAGAGCCGGAAAGACAUGGUCACUUCUUCUUUGUGGGUUUUGCCCGAAUUUGCAAUGUCCCAUUUUUGAGAUAAAACUGGAAUCCUGUUUUUAUCCUGUGCUCUCUGAAGAAUUUCUGUCUCGGGACAUGGUUAGAUCAAUGAAGUUACAUAGUUUUAAGGUUAUUUGUUGCCUUUGCAUCAAGGUAUGUGGUCAGUUGUAGACAGACCUCCGUGGAGUUGAGAGAUUAGGACUCGCUGGACUGAAAGAGCAUGAUCAUUCCAAAGACGCUUGUUUGAAAGUUUGGGUUUUUUUUUCCCCGUUUGUUUUUUGUUUGGGCUUGUUCUCCCCCCGCCCUGUUGAUUUCUAAGCAAGUUUCAGCAUCCUCCGCAAGCUGCCCGCAUCCUUCCGGAAGCAUUCUCACUUUGGACUUGACCUCUGACAUUGCAGGAAACAUGAAUCUCAGAGUGCAUCGCUCAUUCCCAACAUUUCCAAACUAAAAUUGCUUCUUCUCCCAGUUGGCUCGGGGAGUGCCCUGCCUCCCCAAGCCCGGCUCAGACGGUGGGUCUCCAUGCAUGAAUACCUGAAAAAGCCACAUUCUCAUUGGUGCCCGUGGGCCCCGACUGUGGGGAUGACAUAAAAAAUUUUGGCUCCGAAGCACUUUAGCAAAAAAAGAAACAGGCUAGAACAAUGGGCUGAAAAUGAUCUUGGCCUUUCAAGUGCUUUAUCCAACGUUCCAGUGUGAGAACCUGAUCUCCCAGAAAGUACUUCUUUUAUUGCCAACCACAGAGAAUCACUGACAGAACUAAUUAAAGAAUUUGAACCUCGUUCUGUCCUUCGUUAGCUGACCCUCAACCAGGGGCUGGACUCGAAACAAAGACGCUCUGAGCCAACCAGAUAUAGAAUGUGAGCCUCUCGCGGCGGAAGAGGGCUGUGCUCUCAUCCCCCUCUUGGAAAGAGCUACUUGAGCGCAGGAUACUUCUCCCUCUCUUUUUUCUUUUUCUUUUUUUUUACAAUGGAAAACGCGUUGGGUUGCCAUCAGAAAUAAUGAAGUUUGAAGUUCCUGAAAGUUAUUCACUUAUUGGACUCGACUUUCCACCCUUUUCUUGAAUUCCAGGAGCCAGGUCAAGACAGUGAGUUCUCAUGGAAAAUUAAGUGCUUUUGCAAAGGUGCUUAAAGAAAAAUGCUUGUUUCAGGUUUCAGACUCUCAAGGGGAUGAUGGUCAUUGAUUCCAGGCUUGAGACAACGAUAAAGACUUCCAGAUAUGAAUGGACUUCGGUGGAGUCUGGCCGGUUUACCCGAAAAUCUGCCCCUCCCCCGAGUCUGGUCCUAUCCUGGAUAUUCACCCUUCUUGUUCUUUUCCUCCCUACAUUUUAAGAUCGCACAACUUGGCAGUCGUCGUCACGGUCACAUGGAAUGACAUUUAUUGACUGAGUAUCUUGGCUGAUUGAAGAAUGACUAUUUUAAGAUUGUGGCAUGACUUCUUAGAGUUACAUAAUUAUCCACUGACGUGAAGGACCCACCAGGACAUACAUCUUUAUUAGUUUUUUGGUCAGCUGGCAUACAGUGGAAGAAGAGGAGCCUCAGGGAAGCUCCUGGGGAAAACUAUUAUUUUAUUCAUCUGGAAAAAUAUCAGGCUUAGAGAUUCAUAAUUUAUUUUUAUUUUUAUUUUUUUGUCUUUUUGCCUUUUCUUGAGCCGCUCCAGCGGCAUAUGGAGGUUCCCAGGUAGGGGUCGAAUCAGAGCUGUAGUCGCCAGCCUACACCACAGCACCGUGGGAUCCGAGCCUUGUCUGCAACCUACACCACAGCUCACUGCAGCCCUGGAUCCUUGACCCACAGAGCAAGGCCUGGNAUAAUUUAUUUUUAAAAUUAGAAAGCAGGAACACAAAUACUAUUUCAUUUUCAAAUGUUUGUUUUUUGUUUUAACCCUGGUAACAAUAAGGGGGGAGAUUUGGGCACAAAAAUCUUCACAUAAAAAUAAAGGGCGGAUCUCCUGUCUGGAGUAGUCCCACCCAACUUGCCCUCACCCUGCACAUCCGGCCGCCCCAUCCGGUUUCAUCAAUGGAGACUGAAAAGGUGUUUCUAAAAGCAUCUGACAUCAAGUCAAGGUCCCCUUAAUCCAGAAUAAGCUAGAACCCACAAGAGCGACUAACUGCAAACAAAGGUCAACUGCAGCCUGUGCUCAGAAUGGGGCUCCUGAGCUCGCUCCUCUAGGGAGCCCGGCCCGAGAGCUCGGCUCCUGCUGUGUGCGCGCCUCAAGAGGUCGCCCAGGAAGCAGAUGCAGGCUUUGGCAUGUCCGCUAAUCCCUCACUCUGGAGACCUAGGCUUCCACGCCAGACAGAUUCUCUUGCAAAUGGCCACAUACUUGACUUUGAACUUUUAGUGAGAGGUUGAAUGUGGGGUGGCCCAUGAGUGAAACUCAACUAUGCAAUCCCAGAAGUAGGCAAAAAGUACGGGGAAGAAAAGGGAAAUUAACAUUCUCGGAUUAUUUGACCAGGAGAGCACAAAAAUUGCUUCUGUGACAAUGGGAUCUUGAAGGCAUUGCAAUGGAGCCCAAGGAGAAUGAAAGAGCCGCAUGUACUUUGUGAGAUCUCUCUGUUCAGUUGUGCUGUGUAGAAUCCACUAUUUUCUCCUCCCUUAAGAAAAUCUUGGGUGUGUUCCAUAACUUCCUGGUCACAUUUGGUAAUUAAAACUUAGUGUGGCUUAAUUUAAACCCUUAAUUGCAUAUCCAAUUUACAGCUAGAGCUGUGACUCUGACUGUUUAGAAAGAGGAUGGGGGGGCAAGAUCUGGCUCUGGAUCAACCCUGUCCCCUUCUUCCUCUGGACCUGGCCAGGCAGCUGCCUGGAGGAGGGCUAGGGACCCAGGAGAAUCCUUCCUUAAAUGUCCACUUGCUCUCGCGAGGGCUUGUUCAGAACCCCCCUGGGUGCAUGUACGUACCAGUUGUGUGUGUGGGCUUUUUAACUUUCCCCACCCUGCCCAAUUCAGCCUUGUGUGCCAUGAGCCCUCUGUGGACAACCGAGGUCUUGACGUGGGGACUACUGAAGAAAUAAUCCCAUGGCUCCGGCACCUCCACCAAGAUCUGGGCUCCUUCAGGUGGCGCUGGUGAAAGGCUGGGGUCCCCUUUCCCACCGCCCAGCAGGAAGAAAACCAGAUGGGCUGUGGGUCCUCCUGCCAUUCCCAGGUGUUUCUCAGUUCUCACACUCACACCUCAGACGUUUGUAGGCUGAAGGUCGCAGACUGCAUAUUCCUCUGUGCUUUGUCCAGCUCAGGGCUACCCGUUGAGGCCCCCCUAGAACUCUGGCACCCAUUCUUCUGCGGAGACAUCCUGAGGGAAGGUCUGACAGCUUUGGAAGUUCAGGAAGGCCUCCGAUUAAAGAAUGAGAUGCUGAUUUCCCUUGACUGCAAGUAGCCCGGGCAUCACAGAUGACUCCUGCAGAGCCGGAAACAUACCCUCCCCUGCCCCUUGGCGAGGGGUGAGACCAGGCUGGUACAGUGCAUGGUAAUUCCCACGCGGCCCUUGCUUGGCACCACUCCCGCCUUCUCUAGACUGCAGAGGGCCUGGGAGCAUGCUACUUGGUGGUGGGGGACCAUCCUGCUGCCUCUCGGUCACCCUAAAGGAUAGUGUCUGGUCCUAAUGCACAACGGCUUCCUUACUGGUCUGGUUAGAACAUAAAGGCAUCUCAGUUUCCGGUGGUAUUAAAGACGGUGUUACACUACCACGACUGGACGUGACUGGAAGUGACUUGUUUGGGAGAAAAAUGUGGUUCCAAAAAAUGUACGUUUAUGGAAAAUUAGAGCGCAGAAACAGAAGUGAGCUUCCUUCCGAAGUCAUGGGCACAGAGCCACAGGACAGAUAAAGUUAGAAUCAUGGAGAAAAUGUUGUAUCCCAUGCCUGCUUGUUCUGAAUUCAGCUACGGACUUAGAGCCAAAGUAUCUCUGGGUCAUUCCAUCUAGGGUCCUGGGUCAUCCGCGCAUCCCCCCUUUCUUCCGCCCUUCACGGUCCAGCCGGGGUGUUAGUACCCACAUGGCUCUGACGCAGGGUUUUAAUUAGACCAUCCCAAGGUCGAUCGCACCAGAAACACCUGGGGUGUCAGGUACCCCAGGUCAAUCGGAUUAAAAUUUGAGAACCUAAUGAGAAGUUAAAGUUGGUGAACCUCGGGGCUACACUGCAAACUGCAGUGGGCCGCCUUCUCACCGAUGAAGUCAGCAGUCAGCUCCUCAGUGACACCUUCCCAGGCAUGACUGGCCUCACAAAGAACCUUCUCUUAGAUGGGCCUGACAUCUCUUAUCCACUUGCAAACUUGAACAUGCACAUCUCAAUAAAGUAAGCCAGAGCUCCCAUCCUGGCUCAGGGGAACUGACCCGACUAGGAUCUGUGAGGAUGCGGGUUUGACCCCCUGGCCUCGAUCAGUGGGUCAUGGAUCCAGCAUUGCCGUGAGCUGUGGCGGAGACUGAAGACGUGGCUUGGACCCUGCUUUGCUGUGGCUGUGGUGGAGGCCGGCAGCUGUAGCUCCAAUUCAACCCCUCGCCUGGAAACAUCCAUAUGCCCCAAGUGUGGCCCUAAAAAAAUGAGUGAAUGAAUGAAUGAAUGAAUGAAUAAAGUGAGUCUACAAGUGU